UUUCUCACUCCAGCACGUUCUUGAAAAAUGGUGUACGCUCACUACUGUUGGUCAGAGCAGGUGCAGGGUAAAACGUAUCUCAGCCUUUUACCUCAUGUUUUGUAUAAUUAUAUACCAAUUUUUUUCUCGUAUCAUUGAGAUAAUUUACACACUUUUUUCAUACAUCUAGAUUUGUAUCCUGACUAAUUAUUUGUAAGGUGACUAAAUUUCUAUCCAAUAGAUGCAAUUGGACUGAUUAUUUAGGAGGUAAUGCUAUAGUGCUUCGACCGUAUGAUCAAAACCUCCUUAGUUUAUUUUCCAUAAAGUGCGGUGUUGGGUGCUUGAAGUGUCAAGAGCACCAUGUAGACAACUUUACUCUCUGCUAGUUUGAAAACUUGAAAGCGAGAACAGACUGAACAGUGCCUGUCUUAAGGUUUAACUUUUAUAGUGCGCCAUUGUAUUUGGCACUCGUUUAUUUUCAUGGGCAACAAAAGAAGGAAACUAAUUCAGACUUGCUAAAAAAAAAAGAAUUCAUUGUUCUGCUAAUCUCAUCGUCAUUGUAUAUUUCUCUCUUCUUCAAUGACAUAUGGUGAUUUCCAUAGUCCUUCCUUGCCUUCAAUCGGGAAACUGAAAAAACAGCGUGAAGAAUUCCAACAUCGUUUGGAGGAAUUGAGGAAUCUAAGGGAGAAAAUACGAGCUCUAGCAAGGGAGAUGCAAUCAGUCACUCGACUCAUAUAUUGCAUCCUUAUUCUCGUUCAUCAGACUCACUCUGUUGGUAUUUGAAAAUCAUAAUUUAUAUAGUUAUAUUUUCAUUCUAUGCAUUUUUAAAAUGUUAGAUGCACUCUUAGAUCUAAAUAAUCUUCACUUUUUCAGGAUCUUAGUUCAUUAUAUUACAUAAAGAUUAAACUUGUUAUCCAUUUAAAUUGGUCAGGUAAUUUGGACUGGUGCUAUAAUUUGAGUUUUGAUGCAAUUUUAGAUCUAAAUAAUGAUUAAACUCGUUAUCCAUUUAAAUUGGUCAGGUAAAUUGUUAGAUGCAAUUUUAGAUCUAAAUAAUCUUCACUUUCUAAAGCUCUAACAGAACCUGAUUCUAUAAGUAUUUAUGAUGCUUGCCGCAGGAUGGCUGCUCGCAGAGUUGAUGCUUUAUUGCUGACUGACUCGAAUGCAUUACUAUGUGGUAUAUUAAUGGAUAAGUUGAGCAUCGUAGACCACUACAACAAUUGAAAAAGACAUUGUUGAUGCUACUAGUAGCUAUGCAGGUCUAUCUAGGUGAGCAGUACGUAAAUAAUUAUACGCUAUCUGAUGUGACAUUUUUAGUUGAAGGUAGCAGCAGUUUUGUGAUUCAAAUAUUGUCAUCUUCUUCAUAUCAUGGUGUUCUCGAAAUGGGUAUACUCAAAAGUAUUGUAUGUUACACGUGCUUUUAGCCCAUUGACCUGAAAUUUUGUACUCAUAAAAGACCAUAAAUACUUAGCUCUUUCCUUAAUGUA